AUGAACGCUGGCGGCGUGCCUAAUACAUGCAAGUCGAGCGAACAGACGAGGAGCUUGCUCCUCUGACGUUAGCGGCGGACGGGUGAGUAACACGUGGAUAACCUACCUAUAAGACUGGGAUAACUUCGGGAAACCGGAGCUAAUACCGGAUAAUAUAUUGAACCGCAUGGUUCAAUAGUGAAAGACGGUUUUGCUGUCACUUAUAGAUGGAUCCGCGCCGCAUUAGCUAGUUGGUAAGGUAACGGCUUACCAAGGCAACGAUGCGUAGCCGACCUGAGAGGGGGAUCGGCCACACUGGAACUGAGACACGGUCCCGACUCCUACGGGAGGCAGCAGUAGGGAAUCUUCCGCAAUGGGCGAAAACCUGACGGAGCAACGGCGCGUGGGUGAUGAAAGUCUUCGGAUCGUAAAACUCUGUUAUUAGGGAAGAACAAAUGUGUAAGUAACUAUGCACGUCUUGACGGUACCUAAUCAGAAAGCCACGGCUAACUACGUG
rnacentral:rRNA from 1 species